rnacentral:rRNA from 1 species
GAUGAACGCUAGCGGGAGGCUUAACACAUGCAAGUCGUGGGGCAGCAUUAGGUAGCAAUACUUAGAUGGCGACCGGCGCACGGGUGAGUAACGCGUAUGCAACCUACCCAGUACAGGGGGAUAGCCCGGAGAAAUUCGGAUUAAUACCCCAUAAUGAUAUAGAGAGGCAUCUUUUUAUAUUUAAAGCUUCGGCGGUACUGGAUGGGCAUGCGUAAGAUUAGCUAGUUGGUAGGGUAACGGCCUACCAAGGCUCCGAUCUUUAGGGGUCCUGAGAGGGUGAUCCCCCACACUGGUACUGAGACACGGACCAGACUCCUACGGGAGGCAGCAGUGAGGAAUAUUGGUCAAUGGGCGCAAGCCUGAACCAGCCAUCCCGCGUGAAGGAAGAAUGCGCUAUGCGUUGUAAACUUCUUUUCCGGAGGAAUAAAAUCUUGUACGUGUACAGGACUGAAGGUACUCCGGGAAUGAGCAUCGGCUAACUCCGUGCCAGCCGCCGCGGUAAGAC